rnacentral:rRNA from 1 species
GACGAACGCUGGCGGCGUGCCUAACACAUGCAAGUCGAACGGAAAGUUAGCAAUAACUUUUAGUGGCGAACGGGUGAGUAACGCGUGGGCAACCUGCCCUUCAGACGGGGACAACAUUCCGAAAGGAGUGCUAAUACCGGAUACGACCUUUAGACCGCAUGGUUUAAAGAAGAAAGGUGGCCUCUAUUUAUAAGCUACCGCUGAAGGAUGGGCCUGCGUCUGAUGAGCUAGUUGGUGGGGUAAAGGCCUACCAAGGCGACGAUCAGUAGCCGGGCUGAGAGGAUGAACGGCCACACUGGGACUGAGACACGGCCCAGACUCCUACGGGAGGCAGCAGUGGGGAAUCUUCCGCAAUGGGCGAAAGCCUGACGGAGCAACGCCGCGUGAGUGAAGAAGGUCUUCGGAUUGUGAAGCUCUGUCAGGGUGGAAAAACGGCGAUUGUUCGAACAGGGCAGUCGAUCGAUGGUACACCAAAAGGAAGCACCGGCUAACUUCGUGCCAGCCGCCGCCGUAA